AUGACAGAGUCUAUUAGCAAAGUAGUUUUGCAUUUGUACCAUCUGGGUUCCUGAAUCAGCACUAACAGAAACCAUAGACCUCGUCAAUGAUUCUAUCUAGAGGAAUUAUGAGUCACAACAGGAAUAUAGAUACCUGGAAAUACUAAAAAUCGAGCAAGUAGACUGCAAAAUUUCUGUUGAGAUAAGUAUUAUGGAUUGUAUUAGACCUCACUCAAGUUCCUGUGACAGAAACAAAACUCAAUCAGAUAAGUUCACAAGACGAUUGAUUGAGUUACAUUAAAGGGUAUCUAGGAGGCAAUCUACUCAAGACAUGAUGUAAUCAAGGAGCUCUUGCAAUGCUGCCAGGGGUGGUUCCCCACAUCCCGCCCCGCCACCAUCUUUCCUUCCUCCCUCUUUGCCCCUCCCUCCUGUCCUGGUCUCCUUGGCUUUUCUCAGUAAUUCAACAUUAUUUUCAAACAUAAUUACUUCACAUCUUGGAAUUCAUGAUUUGUACUUCUGAGCCCAUGUUCCAGUGAUUGACAAGAAAGGAUGAAGAGAGAUACUCUGCUCUAAUAAUCCUGUGCCAGCUUUCAAAAGAUGUUUUCAGCUGACAUGUGUGCCUACCUUGAAUUAAACUCUGUGACUUUUUGAGGGAGCAGAACCUUGUGUCCUGCGGACCUAAGGCUAUGGCUGUACUGUAUUGUUGGACUACACUUUAUCAUGUUAGCCUUUCGCUGGGCUCUGAGAUGCAACCCAUGGAACAGUGGAGAUGUAAUGAGCAGUUGUUUGAUCACCAAGGAGAUUCGUCACCAAAGCAGGACCUUUCCUCAUUCUGGCUUUUGGCAUUAACUCUGGUUAUUUGAGUUAGUACUCAUUUCUGUCACCGAAUCCCCAGUUCAUGUAUGCAGAAACAGGAUCAAUCGAGACACAAAGAGCACCAUGAAGAUAUGUGAGACUUUUCAUCUCUUUAUGACCUCAAAUGCCAUGUUUAGGUUAAUGAAUGACUACAUGGAAAAAGAAGCAAGAAAAUGUAAAGCCAAUGCUUUCACUGCUUAAUGUCACAAAAGGAUAACACAUCUUAUGUUUUAUGAUGGAGGAGUCAUGUGGUAUUAGUACUAGGUGUUCCUGCCAGAAGCAUCAAUCCAGAUGGGGAUAUUAAUUUAUUUGACCAGAUGUGUAACAAUGUCACUCUGAAAGGCAGUUCUGGUAUGCUGAACUGACAUAUAUCAGCGUAGAAAUUCCACUGCUAAUAGAAUAUUUCUGAAUUAGUGGCUCUCCAGUGGGAUCUCAAUCACUUUGAACCACAAAGAAGGUACGAUUUUAGCACAAGACUUUUAGAAAGACAAGACUUAAGGUCCCAUGUAGUCUGAAAACUUCAUUUGAAAAAAGAGGAAGCUAAGGUUCCAAGAGGUAAAGUAUGCAACAAGAACUUCUCAAUUCAUGUGCGGCAAAAUUGAAGAAAAAUUCUGGACCCCAGAACUAAGAAGAUGUCUUUGCUCUGUGUCCUUCAUUGAAUGUUCAUAUAUUCCAUCAUUUCAGUGAGCAGAUGUACACGUAGCACUCACUGUGAGACAGCCACUUUACUAGGCAUUUCAUAAACAGCGGUGAAAUGGCAAGCGGGAUGCCUGCUUUUAAGGAGCGUACCCUCUGGUGGCCAGUGUCACACAGAAGUGAGCACAUCUGUGCAAAAUUAACUGCCGUGAUGACAAUGCAAGGCCGAUGCUGCAGAGUGCCUGGAGCAAGGCCGCACAGGUAGAGUGAAAGAGAAAAGUCAGGCCAUUUCUCAUCACAUUUUGACUACUGUGAAAAGAAGCCGGUGAAGUGGUGAAAGACUUUCCAGUAUGUGGAAAGAACCAACACGAGAUCUUUGUGAGUUUGGGGAGGAGGAGGCACAGGUAGAGGCACAAUGAGCUGUGGAGAGACUGGAAGAUGCUGUGAAGAGAGAAGCGAAAGGAAGCCAGUUACUGCAAACCCUAUCAAGUUACUUCUAUUCCAAAUGCAAUGGGAAAAAUCGAAAAGAUCUCAAAGAAGCAAUAGACUCCGAUUUUCAAGCACCUAUUUGUGCAUUAAAGUCUAUCCCAAGAUAUGUAAUUCUUUUAAGCUGCAGAGUACUUUCACAUCCUUCUGUAUUUCAUUAAAAUAUUAUAAUAACUUCAAUUGCAGUAAAGAGCGGAGGAAUUUUACAAAAGAAAUCUCAGUUAAACAAUCAACGGGUUGAUUGGGUUUGUCGUUGUUGCUGUUGUUCUGUUUGUUAACAGACUUUCUUGAUUUUUAGCAGUUUGAGCUUCACCGCAUUGAGCAGCUUGUACAAAUGGUUCUCAAACACUCCCCUCCUCCUAUUCCUAUUUUGCAUGAGUAUGGUACAUUCAUUAGAAACCAUUAACUGAUAUGGAGACCUCCCGAUUGUCAUUAUGGUUCACAUUGUGUUGUAUAGUUCUAUGGGACAGAAUAAUUCCCUGUGAUCCAUGUAUUCAUCCCACCUCCUCUACCUCCAAACUCUUGG